UCACUCUUCGCCUUUCGCGCUGACAUUCUUCUUCCGCUGCCGGGUGAGAGUGUCUUCUAUCCUCCCAGUUAAUCCCGCCUUGAGUUCUCUCUCUCCCUCUCCCUCUCUCUCUCGUCUCUCCAUCAUUCGUUGAGAGACGUUUCUCCUCCUCGAUUCCUUCCUGGGAACUCAUUAUCUCCUCCGUUUCCCUAUCAAUGCGCACCGGAAAGGAUCGGGCAUUGAAUUGCUAGGCCCUGUUGGAUUUCUUCUUCCAUUCUCCAAUAUAUCCUCGUCUUUAAUAAACUCCUUUCCCCCUCGACCACCACUCCAAGAGAAGAAGAACACAGUGCCAGCUUAACAGGGACCGACAACAACUAACCCCCCAACCGAUCCUGUUCGUUGUUUGCCCAGCCGUCUCGAAGAAGCACGAAGACCUCUAUCGCGUGUUCUGCCCCUUUCAUGAACCGUUGGAAAAUAAUAUAGUUCACACCGUCACCAUGGGGGUUGCAAAGGGAGCAUCCAGUGUCAAUGGCUUCGGGAGCGCAUUCGCCGCCAAACAUAACCUCCCGUCACACUUUAUCGGAGGCAGUCGUCUCGACCUGGCCCCACCUGGGAAAGUGAAGGAUUUUGUUGCGAAGAACGAUGGCCAUUCAGUUAUUACUUCGGU
rnacentral:sRNA from 1 species